rnacentral:rRNA from 1 species
GCCAGCAGUUUCGGUUAAACGAUUAAUGUUUUAAAUGUUUUAUAUUAGUCUUUUGUUGCUUAUAAGUUAAUUAAGGUGAAAUUUAAUUUUUGUAGGCUUUGGGAUUUUUGAAGAUUUAAUUUGAGAUAAGAGGAUUAGAUACCCUUGUAUUUAUUUAUGUUAAGUAGUAUUUUUAAUUUUUGAAACUUGAUUUUGAUGGCGGUUUAAAGGUUUUAUAGAGGGGCUUGAAAUAUAAUAGAUGAUCCUCUUUAGAUUUUUUCUUUUUUUUUUAUCUUUUGUAUUUUUGUAAUAUUUAAAUUUUGAGAUUUGUUGUGGGUAAAUAUGAAUUUGUCAUUGCAAAUCAAAAUGUAGAUUAUAAAUUAGAAAUUUUUAGCCACUUUUUGGUUAAGUUUUGAUUUUAGUAUUUAUUAGUAAAUGGUAAAUGUUAUAUUUCUUUUGAAUUUUUAACUUUUGAUGCACAUAUCGCCCGUCGCUUUUAUUUUAGUAAAAUAAGUCGUAACAAAGUAGA